ACUCGUCCUUCCCUCACUUGGCCCUCGAAGACGAAGGAAACUUCACCGCAUCCUCCUCAGCGGCCACCACGCCGCAGUCCCAGAAUGCAUCGCUGGAGGAGGUAGACAUGGUCCCCAGCGAGAGGGGGGCCCUCGGCGAGGGGGGGGCCCUAGGCGAGGGGGGGGCCCUUGGCGAGGGGGCCUUGGACGCCGAAGGGACGAGCGACUCAGCAGACGCAUGAGAAGAGAGAGAAUGACCCGAUAUUUAUUUUUGUAUCACGGAUAUUUAUAUAUUUAUGCAUUUUGUACAUAAAUAUGUUAGUAUUACCUGUACAUAUGUUUUAUUUUCAUAUUGAAAAGGAUUCUUUAUACAAGCUUCCUCAAAUGAUUGAGAUAUUAUUCUUUUUUCCCCUUGGUUCAGUGGGCCAUAGGAAUAUAUGUAUAUGGUGUAGGUAUAUUUAUAUAUAUAUAUGGUGUAGGUAUAUAUAUAUAUAUAUAUAUAUAUAUAUAUAUAUAUAUAUAUAUGGUGCAGGUGUAUAUAUAUAUAUAUAUAUAUAUGGUCCCCAGUAUUCAGCGCUCACAGGAUUCCGGCUCCACAUCAUUCCUAAACAUUUCACUGCAGACAGUAUGACUCAGAGGACGUGAACACUGAGCUCUCCUCACGCUGUAGUCCUGCAGAGUCAGAGGACGUGAACACUGAGCUCUCCUCACGCUGUAGUCCUGCAGAGUCAGAGGACGUGAACACUGAGCUCUCUUCAUGCUGUAAGUCCUUCAGACUCUGUCUCUCUGUGUAGAAAUAACACAAAUGUAUCGAGUGUCGUGCGGCAUUAACAAAACUUGUAACAUGUGUAUGCAAAAUGAACAAGCGUCACGUUCCAGUAGUCUAGUGUUCACAGAGAUUCUAUAUAUUGUAUAGUUAUUUAUUUUUAGCAUUAUGAGUCAUUUUUUUACUUUUAGCAUCACUUAAUGGGAGAGAUUCUGGAAAUUGACAUUUUUACAGUCGUUCAUAAGCUGAAGUGGGGGCUGUCCUGAAGCAUUGUUUACUGCUGGUCCCCAAACUUCCGCCGGAAGGGAAGCUCUGGCAAUGUGUGGGGGCCAAGCCUCCCUAGAAAUGGCGGUAAAAAUAAGUACUUGCCUCUGCCUGAGGUCAGCGGACCCCCAGAUGAAGGAGACCCCUAGUCUACAUCCCUCACGAGUCUAGCCAUUGCCAUGGUUACGCAUGCUGGAGCACUAUUGCAUGUAAAUAAAGCUUAUCAAAAUA
ensembl:lncRNA